AUUGAACGCUGGCGGCAGGCUUAACACAUGCAAGUCGAGCGGAGAUGAGGUGCUUGCACCUUAUCUUAGCGGCGGACGGGUGAGUAAUGCUUAGGAAUCUGCCUAUUAGUGGGGGUCAACAUUCCGAAAGGAAUGCUAAUACCGCAUACGUCCUACGGGAGAAAGCAGGGGAUCUUCGGACCUUGCGCUAAUAGAUGAGCCUAAGUCGGAUUAGCUAGUUGGUGGGGUAAAGGCCUACCAAGGCGACGAUCUGUAGCGGGUCUGAGAGGAUGAUCCGCCACACUGGGACUGAGACACGGCCCAGACUCCUACGGGAGGCAGCAGUGGGGAAUAUUGGACAAUGGGGGGAACCCUGAUCCAGCCAUGCCGCGUGUGUGAAGAAGGCCUUAUGGUUGUAAAGCACUUUAAGCGAGGAGGAGGCUACUGAGACUAAUACUCUUGGAUAGUGGGCGUUACUCGCAGAAUAAGCACCGGCUAACUCUGUGCCAGCCGCCGCGGUAACAC
rnacentral:rRNA from 1 species